ensembl:lncRNA
UAUAGCCACACCUGCAGCCGUCAACCCCCAUACAACAGAGGCGGUAUAAAGCGAUGAUAUUAAUUUCUAAAUGUUUUUGAUCAAGGUUAAUCUAUUAAUGGCACGGGGCUUAUAAUUAUAAUCAGAUGAUCAACGUAUAGGAUAAACCGUGCUGGCAUAUGCCUAUACCCCCUGGUGGCUGAUGUUGCUGUUAUAUUGGUUGUCAAUUCCCCCCCAAAGGAGGGAAGUGAGGAGCUGUGUGUGGGCGGGUAAGAUCCGUAUGAAACGGCGAAUCAAUACUUUAUUAUGCCUCUAAGAGCUCCGCAAUCUGUCCUGAGCGCACUAGCUGACCGGGGGUUAGUUGGUUUUCUGUUGUGUAAACUAAAAGUGGCUACCUGCACACUCGGAAAUCGUGAACUUUCUUUGCACUCUGCCGGCGCCUAGCACUCGGUUCUGCAUGUCUUGGGGCAGGCUUAGAGACGGCGCACACCGACGGGACAUACGGAGUGAGACGGAUGCAUGCAAAGUGGCAGCUGAGCUGAAGCCACAUUUGCUGCACAUUUAAAUCGUACCACCACGUACCACGUUUGGCACAAUAACGGCUGACUUGAACGCACAGCAUGGGCGGAGAACCCCCUGGAGGGAGCAGCAGCAGCAGCGUCGGCGAAAGUGGACAGGAGCAGUACCAGGCUUUAGCCUUCGACACCGCCGUCAGUACUCUAGUGGCUGUAGCCGUGUACGUGGUGGUCAAAGUCAGCCUGGACGGCUUCAGACAGUGGCGCUCCAAGAUCUCCGUGUUAAUAGUGGGCUCGGGACCGAUCGGCCUGACCGCAGCGUUGGUCGCUGUCCGCUCGGGGAAGGUGCUGAAGCUGACAGUGCUCGACGAGCGGUGCCGGAGCGCCCUGCUCUGCCGGCCCCAGCAGAUCGCCCUGGACCCCCGCAGUGUGGGGUUUCUGCUGGGGUUAGGGGUGGACUUUGAUAAUAUGGAGGGGUGCUGGCACAACGAGCACUUUUUCACCAAGAUCGGGGUGUUUCAGGAGUAUUUGUUGAGCAUCUUGGAGCAGAAGAAGCAGAAGGUCGACGUCCGUGUACAGCUGGGAACCAAGCUCGCCAGGAUGUCUUAUGAUGCAAAUAUAGCCCCCUUGAAUAACCGUCCUCUACAGUCAUACACAUCGUUCUUGGACUGCUGAUGAGUCAUGCUAAACGGAGUCCUUAGCUUCUCUGUAUACCUGCCUGCUGUUACUUCUGCAGAACCAGGGCACGUCAGAGUUACUGAUCCAUGCACAGGGGCUACAGGGACCUUCUCUAGGGAGGACCGGGGCAGAAGGCACAGGUUGGCCCCAAGUGGGCCCCUAAAACAAUCCCAGAUGUAGGCAGCGGACACAGCGGUGUCAGCCACACAGCUGUGUGGAUCCUUUGGUACAGAGCCGGGGGAUAGUGAGCCAAUCACCAAUGAGUACGAGCAGGAACGCUCUCCACCGCUCUGCUAACGCAGCCCCCCUCCUGCUCUCCGUCCACGACUCAGUUCACCGAGGAGUACCUGCACCGCCUCCCCCGGCCCCAGUGGCCCCGGGUGCUGGUGGUGGCCGACGGGUCCUGCGGGGACUCCUGCUCCGUGCUGGGCAUCAGCUCCGACUACGCGGUGGAGUCCUGCCGGGCCUACGGCGCCAACGCCACCAUAGAGAGGCUGGACCAGAGACAGGUGCGGAGGAACGCACACACACGGGACAGAGGAGACAGACGUUCAUGUACCUGAUGGAUGAUAUGUACCGAUUAUACACCAGCUGCGUCACACAAGGGCACGCAGGAACACAGCAGCUCAGGCAAACACAGAAGCACACAUGCACACACACACACAGAAGAACACACACACACACACACUCACGCAAACACAGAAGCACACAUGCACACACACACACUCACGCAAACACAGAAGCACACCUGCACACACACACAUACACAGAAGCACGCAC